UGCUUCAUUUCUUCUCUUCCUCCACUCCCUCACACUCUCCUCCUCCACUUCCCCACGAAAUGCUGCUGCCCCUUGCUUGCAUGGCCGGCCAUGGCCAUGGAAAGCCACCAAGAUGAAGCUCCCCUCCUCCCUCAAGCUUCCCCUCACCAUGAGAGACUCCCUCUCCAUCUUCUCCCCAACCCUAGAUGGAUUAAUCUCCUCUUCUUCUUCCUCCAUUGCUAAGAUUGGAUCUUGAUGCAGGUGCAUGUUGGUCCAAGCAUGGAGAAGGUUGAGCAAUCCUCAGAUCUGAAGCUCUUGACCAAAAUCCAAAUCGAGUGAUUCAAAGUUCCACAGAUAGGUAUUGAAAAGAUCUACAACUUGGCGUUGGUCUGACCCUCAAAUUCGUUACGGAUUGUCCGUGAUCAAGAUCUGGUCAGAUCUGACUUUGUCGAAUUAAACCAGGAGCUUGGAGACGAAUUUUUGAAUGAAACCAACUGGGGGAUGUUUGGUUUAUACCAUGGUGAUAACCGAGAGAGGCAAUUGCUAAAGUUGUGAUGCACUCAUACCUUUACUAGAUGCGAACAAUUCCGGAGAAGAAGAAGAAGUGGAAUCGGACGAGGAUUUUAUUUAUGUUAUUGGGAUUCUUAUAUUGAUGGAGCUGAAGAAGUCCGGGGACAAAUAAGCCAAGGCAAGCCAUCUUUUGAUCUCUGAUUCGGUGUCUAGUUGGAUGUCAUUUGCUGAUAUCCAAAG